UCCACCUGCAUGACCCUGGCACCUGAAAACUGCUUCUUACAUUCAGCAAAAUGCACCUGCUGGGGCCAAGAGGACCUGGUGGCUAUUUGCAGAGAGAAAUCUGUCCCAUCCAGAUGUUGCUAGCCUGGCCCUGCUGCUCACCUCCCACUGCCCUGUGACCUUGGGAGCCUUGGAUCUCCACCUAGGAUGAACUCCAAUUCCAGAUUGAAGCCAUCCAUAGCAGGGGAUACGGAAAGGGGACUGUAAAACCACCAGCAAUCUAGGCAGCAAAAACCUUGUAUUCCUCUGCCUGAGUGCCCCUCGGGUCGGGUUAUGGAGGAAGAUCCCUGCUCACCCAAGCCUGGAGGCUCUACACCCAGCAGGGUACCUGCUGUAGUUCGGAAAAAGGGAUUGGGCUUCAGUCAUCAGAAUGGAUGGGAGCGGCAAAGAAGAGUGAGUUUAAAUCACAGCGGAGUCAGUCCAGUCUCUGCCAAACCCAGAUUCUAAUCCAGGAGCCUGAACCACAGCAGGAGAAACUAAGGAAUUCCCCUGGUGUAGACAUUGAAGCCCCCACCCCAGCCCUGCUCCUAUUCGACAUUUAUUUACAGAAGAGACCCUUAACUUGAAAGGCUGAUUUUAUGAAAAAUUGAGCCUUUCUGAGAAGGAGCAACUUCUCAUUUUGAUCAUGAAGGUCAGCAUCGAGAGUGUCCCAGGAGACACCAUCAACAGGGUAAAGCAAAUGUCUUGAGGCAAGAUCCUGCCUCCCAGAGCAGGGACCAGCUUCUCUUCAGAAAGGAGCUGUGCACCUGAACAGUGGACCCUGAAAACAGAUUUUCAGGGACAUUGAUGACCUCACAUGGAGAAUUUGAAUUCUCAUAGCAAUGUCUACCACUCAAGCAGAGAUCAAAGAAGCUUUGAGGAAGGAAGGAGGUUGAGAGCAGAGUUGCACCAGGCCGUUCAGAAAGCACAUCUUGAAGAGAUCUCCUGGCUCUAGAGGAAGUAAGGCCUGGAACCAGAGACAACCUGGGAACUUGGGAACUUGCUGGUGUUUCUGUCCUCAGAGAGCUGCAGGAAAUAUGUGGGUACCCAGAUGUGGUGGUGGACCCACUGCACCUCCCAAUGCAUGCACCCUGAUUGCAGUUGAUAGCAUAUCAGCAUGGAAUCUUUGCCAUUUUUAAGAAAUAUAUUGGCUCAUUUAUUCACUCA